rnacentral:lncRNA from 1 species
UCUGGUUCUCGAUUGAUCCCUUGAAUUGAGCCUUGCAAAACUACCCAAGACAAGAAAAAUCCUCAUGCUUGAGGGGGUUCCUGACAAUAGACCCUCAAUGCCUAAAUCAGUCUCGUAUGGAAGCAAAUAGAAGAGAUUUGAGCUUUCAAGAUUAAUCUAGCAAGGGAUGAAGUUGAGUAUGAGGUGGAAUGAAGUGCGAAU